rnacentral:rRNA from 1 species
GACGAACGCUGGCGGCGUGCCUAAUACAUGCAAGUAGGACGCAGUUGCGAACGGGUGGGUAACGCGUAGGUAACUACCUAUUAGAGGGGGAUAACUAUUGGAAACGAUAGCUAAUACCGCAUACUAGUAGAUGGACCUGCGUUGUAUUAGCUAGUAGGUAGGGUAAUGGCCUACCUAGGCAACGAUACAUAGCCGAGCUGGGAGGGUGAUUGGCCACACCUGGACUUGGAAAAGGGCCAGACUCCUACGGGAGGCAGCAGUAGGGAAACUUCGGCAAUGGGGCGAACCCUGACCGAGCAACGCCGGGGGAGUGAAGAAGGUUUUCGGGUCGUAAAGCUCUGUUGUUAAGGAAGCGGUACUUAACCAGAAAGGGACGGCUAACUACGUGCCAGCAGCCGCGGUAAUUC